UACGUAGGGUGCAAGCGUUGUCCGGAAUUAUUGGGCGUAAAGAGCUUGUAGGCGGUUUGUCGCGUCUGCUGUGAAAUCUCAAGGCUCAACCUUGGGCUUGCAGUGGGUACGGGCAGACUAGAGUGCGGUAGGGGGUGACUGGAAUUCCUGGUGUAGCGGUGGAAUGCGCAGAUAUCAGGAGGAAACACCGAUGGCGAAGGCAGGUCAC
rnacentral:rRNA from 1 species